rnacentral:rRNA from 1 species
AGCGAACGCUAGCGGCAAGCUUAACACAUGCAAGUCGAGCGCCUAGCUUGCUAGGAGCGGCGGACGGGUGAGUAACACGUAGGUAAUCUACCAUAAGGUGGGGAAUAACUAGGGGAAACUCUAGCUAAUACCGCAUGCGGCCUUCGGGUCAAAGCCUUCGGGCGCCUUUUGAUGAGCCUGCGUCCCAUUACCUAGUUGGCAGGGUAACGGCCUACCAAGGGGACGAUGGGUAGCUGGUCUGAGAGGAUGAUCAGCCACACUGGGACUGAGACACGGCCCAGACUCCUACGGGAGGCAGCAGUGGGGAAUAUUGCGCAAUGGGCGAAAGCCUGACGCAGCUAUGCCGCGUGUGUGAUGAAGGCCUCCGGGUCGUAAAGCACUGUCGGGAGAGAAGAAGUUCUGACGGUAUCUCCCAAGAAAGCACCGGCUAACUCCG